rnacentral:misc_RNA from 1 species
UUUCAUUAUACCAGCCAACACUCGUGCGGCAUCCCCCCGCCCCCCUCUCCUUGCCCUCACACUCGGCCAUUAUUGACUCGCUCGCGGCUGAGCCAUUCGCUUCUCUUGUUUACCUUCGCAGUAUUGUGACUCAACCGCAAUGCCAACACAUCGGGAGAAUGAGGAUCAUCUUGCCUUCACCAACCCCAGUAUGGCGAGCGUGAGCCUUUCCCGCGACAACUCAGCGCAGGCGCGGGCGGCGCGAGAGCCCAUAAGUACGCGCGAGGCGCCAGAGGAAGAUAUUUUCCCUGCCCCUCACCAAAGUGCUGCUUGUAUGAAUACAAGUCGAAAAGAUUCGAUCGACGAGAUGGUGUCGCGUAUUGCCAUUCCCGACAACAUUCCCAUCCAAAAUCUUCCAGUGUUAAACGCACCCGAGCUGAAGCUGAUUGGUCGCUGUGUGAGUUUUUGCGUGAAGCUGCCUCCUAACGGUCCCACGUCCGUCUCCUACUACUAUACAGGCCUCGUGUCCAUGGUCACAGGGACUUCGGUUGGUUUAAUAUACGUGAAUCGGUAUACGUGUGAGGACUUCGAGGCGUACAAGGCACAUGAAAAAUGCCUAGCGAACAGUGAAAACCCUGCCCCGGACGAGCAGAACACUGUCAAAUCCGCUCCGCACCGUAUCCAAAAAGCGAUGAAAGUUCUCCGCCAUUUACACAGUGUUCCUACAGCGGCCAACGUCGAAGCCUCAGCGACGCAGUCUGGCCCAUCUGUCUUUGACGGGCUGCCGGUGAACCCAAACUCUAAGGAGGGCGAAGCGGGUGCUGACGAUGAAAGGGCGCUUUCCAUCACAGCGGAUUCGUGUGUGCUGUGUGCGGCGGAUGCCGCCGGCAGCUUGGCCCCCGCGGUGCCGCUGAAAACCGUGGCGGAGCUAGAAACUGCCGAAGUGCGCGACGGGGAUGGGAGGGAGUGUGUGUUGGGGGCCGCCCGGCUUCUGUUGGAGGAGGGCGCCGGUGGUGCCGGUGCGGUGAACCGCGGUUUGCGAGUCAGGGCCUUUCGGCGCUUCAGCGGAUCCAUCGGGCCGAUCCCGUACGUGACCUUCUUGCGCAAGAACAUCCAGGACGUCGAAUUCGGUCGCGACCCGAAUGCCAUCUUCUACUCGCUCUUCCAGGACCCGGCGAAGCACAUUGACGACAUGCAGUGCCUGCGCAUGUUUGUGCGGCGCUACCUGGUGCACACGAGCGAGGGCAACAACCCGCGCCAGGUGCCGCUCUAUGCAUUCCUGUCUGUCCGGUGUGCAUGGCCGGAUGUGGACCGUGAGCUGGUGAAUCGGCUGGUGCAUGAGGAGCUUACCGCUCUCGUCAAGGCCGACCGCGCCAUCAAGUCGGAGAAGGAGCGAAAACGCGCCCGCGAGGAGCGGCAGUUGCAGCGUUAUCGCGCGCCUGCCGGCCUCUUCUCCAGUACGGGCAUUCUCUUUCUCACGAAAAUUCCGCAGGGCACCUUCCUUGCUGCAGUGGUCAUCCUUGUCUUCACGAUGAUCUUCGCGAUGUUUCUCAGCGUGACGUUGAGCACCGUGAGUGACGUCCUCAUCAUCACCUUCCUGAAUAAGUUAAUCAGGAGCUUCUUGGCAUCAAUCGUUGUAUGGGGCAUCACCGGCAUCACCAACGUUGUGUACGCCACAGUGGUGCACUUGCCGCUUCGCGAGUGCACGAUUUUAGUGGGCAUUCACGUUUUUUUCGGCUUCCUCUCCGCGAUCUGCUGCAUCAUGUGCAUCGCGGUCAUUCUGGCAAACAUGACAAAGAACGCAAUUUACAAGCACAUGGUGAGCCACGGAACGUCGGCACUCUGCGCCUUCUACAACCGUCAUAACUGCUCGGGGUUCCUGCACAGUUGCGAUGUCGUGGACGCGUAUAACGUAAACCUUUGCAGCACAUGCCCUGAUGUUGUUUUCGCGAAAGGCGGCUGCUACGUUGUCGCUCAGAGGCUAGUAGAGGUGGCGCUUGUUCCGAUGCUUGUAUUCACCAUUUUUAUCACGAUCGCGCUGGUCUACAUAGGCAUUCUACUCUUCAAACUACUGCUGGCGGCCAAGGCAAUCGUUGGCCGCUUCUUUUAGAAAAUGCUCUCUCUCGCUUGCUUGCUAUUUCUCUAUAUAUUGUUGUUGUUUUUUUUUUUGCUUUCGCUUUCUUGUACACGCGGCUUCACAGCUUGAUGCAGUGCAGCUCUCCUCGCCUGUGACUUUGACUUGUUCUGCGCGUGCCAAGAGAGAGGGGGAGGCUUAUAUGUACGUCGAAAGUGCAUACACAACCGGAAAAGAAAAGCAAAACGCUGAAACAAAACCCCACAAAACAACGUCUUGGCGCUUCAGUGCGGCGGCGCCGUGCUUUCUAUUGGUUGCUACCUUUUAUUUUUGUUUCCUGGACUGUAGGUGCUCGUCUUCUUUCUGUUGUGGUGGUGAUGGUGGUGUUUGCUGUUGCUCUUUUUCUCGUCCGAGAGACAUGCACACCGGCACGCACACACACACACACACACACAAAAGCAGAUACACUCGAGACUCUGUUCAACUGUGCUCUUUUCGUUUUGCUGCUUCCUUGCCCCAUUUUUCAUUUACAUAUGUAUCUCCCGUUCUUCUCGCCCAUCUUCCCUCAACCCCCCUCAAAACCUCCCACGCUGAGUCGAUGCUGCACUCUACUUGUGCAGGUGCAGGUUUAACUGCUCACUCAAUCUGCCAGAGGAGUCUGCAGUGUACAUGAGCACUAACCCUUUUCUCUGCUGAACGAUUCCAUGCCUCUCGCGCCUUUCUCCCGAUGCUUGGUUUGAGCUCACUCCUGCCUUAACAUCUGCAUGGGCAUAUAUAUAUAUGCACACAAACUUGUUGUCUUGGCAGCGAGAUCUGCGGUUGGCGUUGUCGACCACAUGCUUCAUCGUUUCUCGCAUCUCCAUCUCCGUCUUCGCCUUCCGCGCCGCAG